rnacentral:rRNA from 1 species
AUUGAACGCUAGCGGGAUGCUUUACACAUGCAAGUCGAGCGAGCGGCGGACGGGUGAGUAAUGUAUGGGGACUGCCCGAUAGAGGGGGAUAACUACUGGAAACGUUAGCUAAUACCGCAUACUAUCGGAUACACCAUUUGGUAUUAGCUAUUAGGUGAGGUAAUGGCUCACCUAGGCGACGAUCCCGAGCUGGUCUGAGAGGAUGAUCAGCCACACUGGAACUGAGACACGGCCCAGACUCCUCCGGAGGCAGCAGUGGGUAAUAUUGCACAAUGGGCGCAAGCCUGAUGAAGCCAUGCCGCGUGUAUGAAGAAGGCCCUAGGGUUGUAAAGUACUUUCAGUCGGGAGGCGUUACCGACAGAGGAAGCACCGGCUAACUCCGUGCCAGCCGCCGCGGUAAUUC